rnacentral:rRNA from 1 species
AUGGUCUUGCUUUCAUACCAAUAUCACAGCACAAAUUGGCAGGGGUCUGGAAGUGCAUGCCGCAGUACAUAUGGUGGGUUUGUGAAAUGGUGUAUGGGAAAAAAUGAUGAUGGAAGUGACAGUAUGGCAGUACAGCUUGUUGACGAAUCACAUUGGGAUGAUCUUGUUAUAAUCAUAGCAGUGGUCAGUUCAAAGCAGAAGGAAACCAGUAGCACCAGUGGGAUGCGGGACACUGUUGAAACAAGCCCCCUCUUGCAGUACAGGGCCCAGACUGUAGUGCCAGGUCGCAUAUUGAAAAUGGAAGAGGCCAUCAAGAAUCGUGAUUUUGAAUCCUUUGCCAGGUUAACUUGUGCAGAUAGCAACCAGUUUCAUGUUGUAUGUUUGGUCACGAGUCCUCCCAUCUUCUACAUGAAUGAUACGUCACACAGGAUAAUUAGCCUUGUGGAGAAGUGA